UACGGAGGGGGCAAGCGUUGCUCGGAAUUACUGGGCGUAAAGCGCACGUAGGCGGCUUUGCAAGUUAGAGGUGAAAGCCCGGGGCUCAACCCCGGAAUUGCCUUUAAGACUGCAUCGCUAGAAUUGUGGAGAGGUAAGUGGAAUUCCGAGUGUAGAGGUGAAAUUCGUAGAUAUUCGGAAGAACACCAGUGGCGAAGGCGACUUACUGGACACAUAUUGACGCUGAGGUGCGAAAGCGUGGGGAGCAAACAGG
rnacentral:rRNA from 1 species